CGGUGGUCCCACCUGACCCCAUGCCGAACUCAGAAGUGAAACGCCGUAGCGCCGAUGGUAGUGUGGGGUUUCCCCAUGCGAGAGUAGGGAACUGCCAGGC
rnacentral:rRNA from 2 species